AAUCGAAAUAAUUCUUUCAUUUUGUUAUCUCUUUUUCAUUUAUUUUUCAUAAUUAUCUUCCUCUCAGCGAACAUUAUCUUUCACAAGUAACUAUCAUACGAGUUCUUUAAUUAAAGGUAAUAUUAUCCUCGAAGCUUUGCUCUUUCUUUGUAAAAGUCUUGAUUAAUAUGAAUAAACAUUUUCAAAAUCAUUAGAAAAGCAACGUAAAUCUACGUAACAACGUAAAAUCUACAUAAUUGUAAUUAAAGCUUUAAAUCCUUUUUCAUAUUUUAAAUAUUUUCAUAGAAAUUAUAAUUCUGGCAUAUUGUCAGAUGUAAAUCCAAUAGUAUCAACAAAGAUGAAACUACAAAAACUUUUUAUUCUUUUAAAGUUCAGAUUUCUUUGUCUCUUUUGAUUAUAUUUAUUAAUAUAAUACAUAAAUAAUACAUAUUAUAAAGUAUUAAUUUAUACAUAGAAAAUGUUGCAUUAAUUCGAUUUCAGUUUAAAAGUAACUAAUAUAAAAAUUUAGUCGUAUAUAUAGAUAAUUUUUCAAAAGACUCAAGUAGCAAACAAUAUAUGAAUUUGUAGGUAGUGUCAUUUUAUCGGUCGCGUAAUACGAGCUCGACCAUCACGUAAGGAUGCACCCUGUCAAUUUGCGAACAAGACAAGUCCCAUCAAAGGGGUUAAUAAUAGUGAUCUUUUCAGCGCCGUAUUGUCGUUGUCAAAUUAUCCGAUCAGUUCAUUACACAUACAACAUAUGCUGUCCCUUAAAGUAACCUAAAGUUCAAGCUACUCGAGUCAGUUGGCAUUUGAGCAGUUAAAGAUCCUUCUUGGAAUGGAAAAAAAAAUAAUUUUCUUCACGAUCGGUGAAGCGUCUCUUCGAAAGGUCGCUGUGUCCGGAGGGUUCUUCGUCUUUAAUCAAUAAUAAAAGGGUUGACGUACGGAAGCUGAACAGGAAAUUACAUCCUGGAAAGGAAUUGGCAUAAGUAUCCGAGUGGCUACACUUGGAAACAGUCUUUAACAAUUUCCGAUCAUUUCUCCGUGCUUGUAACCAGGCUUCUCCUAACCUCUUCCUUUUCCUUAGCACGUAAAACAUUGUCGUUCGAAUACGGUGAAACCUGAGCUUGACAAAUCCAUGGAAUUUGCACUGUCUCUCUAACCACCAGGUUCAAAUGACUAACGAAAAAAAAGAACCAGAAGAAGAAACCAGAGGAUGAUACUUGAUUCACGAUUCUCGAAUCAAAUUUUCAAGAAUAACGAUCAUUAUUUUAAGUUGAAAAUUUUAUAAAAAUUAUUAUUUUUUAAAAUGAAUAACAAUUAUUUAUAAUCAAUGAAAAAAACAAAAGAACAGUUUCUGUUUCGUAAAGAAGUGUUUACAAGAUUUUUUUUCUUUCAGUUUUAAUUUAAACAAGUACAAAAGAAUGCAUAUAAUCGAUUAUUUUAUGCUCGCAAGAAAUCGAAGAGUAAAAGGGAGAUCUUUUGUUUCGUAAACAGAUGUUCAGGAGCAAUCUUUCACAGGACUACAUCAUUUUCAAACUCAAUUACCAGCUCAGUACUGAGCACCAGAUAAAUUAAAUUUCGUUACGUGAUCGUUCGUGGCUCUGAUAUUUCGGCGGUUGGCUAAAUUGCUGGCCAUAUACAUACUCUACACACUGUGUUUAUGCAACGGCGCGUGCACAGUGUACCGCCGACUUUUUGUCUUCAUCUUCCUGUACUGAGGUCAACUGAAAACAACACUUUUUCUCCAUUUACGGCACAUAGUAUAGGUGCGUAGCAAAAAGUGCAUCUGAAAGCGUCUUUAAUCUAAUAAUUCUCUUUUGAGGCGCAGAGUGGAAGAUAUUGUUAUUAAUUCAUCGACAGUUAUUGCCACCACUUUGAACGUAUGAAUCUUCUAAUCCUCACAGCCGGAUCAACCAAUUCUACUUAAGCUCUACUUUUAUCUAUAAAAAAUAAAUUCAUACAGGAGUUAAUAACAGACUGAAAAACUUUCAAGUAUCAUAGAUAAUAAAUGAGGUAAAGUGGUAUCUUUCCAUCAAUUGAUAUACAUAUUAAUAUUAUCCACAACUUACUUACUUUCCAAUCAAUAUCAUUCUUUUCUAAUUUCAAAUCAAAUUCCAAUUCAAAAAUAAAUAAUCAAUAAAUGUUUUGCAGAUUGAAAAACAUUCAAGCAUCAUAGAUAAUAAAUGAUAAGAUUGAAAAACUUUCAAGCAUCAUAGAUAAUAAAUGAUAAGACUUUUCGAGCACUUCCCCCCGAUUCGUCGCAGCCUGUUGCGUGUACGCAACGGUCUAUGAAGAGGCCAAGUGUGACAAGGUGGUCAAAGGGUUGCGCACGUGUUCGAGCGGACAAAACGCUUCAAGUGCGGCGAACUGCACGCGGCGUGGUGUCACGGCACGCUGGACUUUUCCCCCUUUACCUUUUGACUGUUGCAUCGGGGGAUCGUUCAGCCCCGAGGGUGAAACGAAUCGACGCAGCUGCGCCGUCCACGCUGAUAAUUAUCUCCGUUCGCUACCACCCUAUUGUUUCUUGAACAACAACCGCCUCCUCCACAAGCUGGACUCUCUCUCUCUCUCUCAGCUUGGCCCGGUUACGAGGCCACCUUCCUUUUUUCAGGCCCCGCGGGUCCUCCUACGCAGCUGCCUUUCGAAGGGAUGUAUGAGAAUAAGAGGAUACCGCAUUCGAGGCUGUUGCAAGAAGGAGAGUUAAUUUUUUAUCAUACUGAAAAAUCGUUGUGGAUUCUGAAAAGAAGAGUUGCCCUCAGCGCCGCAUAUAUUUUAAUAAGGAUUUAAGGAUUUUUCCCCCUUGAAUUCCUGAUAUAAAAUUUCAGAAUAAUGAAUUUUUUAAACUUUUGUUUUAAUGUUUCUAACAUAUUCUAAAAUUGGAAAUUUGCAGUGAGAUGGAAAGAGGAGAGAGUAUCAAAAAAAGGCUUGUUUUAAAAUAAUUCCAUUUCUACAAUUUUAUAUUAAAGAAGAAGAAGAAGAAGAAGAGGCUUUCUCAAUGAGAAAAGAGAAUGAGUUAAAUUGUUUAAUAAAUAAAAUUUUUCUUGCGCCAGUUUCUUCGACUUCGUGCAGGAGAAGUCUGUAGCUUGCUUUAUGAUGUGAAAAAAAAAAAAAAAGAAAGAGGAUCAGCUACGUUUCCGGCGGCUCUUUUCACGGUGCUACGGAAAAAAUGGGAACGCGGUUCUUUGGAGAGGUGUUUUCGUGCGCACCGCCUCUUUAGAGAAAAUUUUCAAAGAAACGCGUUGAAUUUGCUCAUAAGAACAGAGAGAGAGAGAGAGAAAAAAAACGAAAAAAUACACGUUGGCGUAGAAUUUAUAGGAUAAACACUUAAACCGGAUGAAUUUCGGUUAUUGUAAUUAGAUGGGCAUUCAAAGUUUGUAUGAAAAAAAUUAUACUCUUUUUAUUAUUAGAAUUUACAUUAAAAUUAGCUAUUUGAAUGUAUUAACUUGUUAUCCAAUAACAUUUCAUUUAUUAUUUUUUCAGAAUCUUAAAAUUUAUUUCACCUUUACACGGUAUUUUUAUUAUCACUCGCCGUGAAAUUUCAUUCUAACCGAUAAACAAAUAAACAAUUGGAGAGGUAAAAUAAACAAAGCUCGCCAAACCAAUUACUCUUCCCGUUGCUAGUAGGAAAAUAGGAUGGAGGAAAAACAAAGAGAUGCUUAAGAGGGCGAGGAAGAUUCACGAGGUGUUGGUUAUCUCGAAAAAGAAAAGUUGUUGGAAAACGAAGAAAGGGAAGUUGAGUUGAAAACCGUCAAAUUGCAAUUUGAUGCAUGGGCCGACUUUCAGAGAGUUGCUUUUGCAAAUCGUUGGAGCGUGCGCUUGCUAACGAGCCGGCCGAAAUUAAUGAGCAACGACUUACCAACGACUUAAGAUGAUGGUUUAGAAAAACUGUCCCUAUAUGAUAAUACGUUGUUUUUAUUCUGGCAAUAUUCUUGGCAUGAUGAAUACCAGAGAUUUUCACUGCGCUUAUCGAGAAGACAAAUUUGAAAUUAUAUUAUAAAAAAAUUUCAGAAAAGAUUAAAAUUUAUAAUACAGAUAUAAAAGUUUGUAUUAAGUUUGUACAUACUUAAUAACGAUGGAAAAAUAAUCAAGUUUUGCUUUUGAAAAAAAUCGCAAUCUACAAUCACCAGUUGGUUUUUACGUUGUCGGUAAAUUAUUCAGUUCACUGGGGUAUUUUGUGGUUUAUGAGAUUCAUUAGCAUACCAUGGGAAUCCAGAAUCGUCGGUUCCACCGAUCUCGAUUUCCUCGACCCUGUUUGCGACCUAUACGUUAUCAAGUGGCUUUAUUUUACCAUAUUUGCAUUGGUGAAAUGUAAAAUAGUAAGCUUACUAUUAAUAUAAGCUUAAUAUUCGGAGAAAA